rnacentral:rRNA from 1 species
AGAGUUUGAUCCUGGCUCAGGACGAACGCUGGCGGCGUGCUUAACACAUGCAAGUCGAACGAGAGGACAAGAGAGGCUUGCUUCUUUUGGAAUCGAGUGGCAAACGGGUGAGUAACACGUAAACAACCUGCCUUCAGGAUGGGGACAACAGACGGAAACGACUGCUAAUACCGAAUACGCUUGGAAGACCGCAUGAUCUUCCAAGGAAAGGGUGGCCUCUACCUGUAAGCUAUCGCCUGAAGAGGGGUUUGCGUCUGAUUAGGCAGUUGGUGAGGUAACGGCCCACCAAACCUACGAUCAGUAGCCGGUCUGAGAGGAUGAACGGCCACACUGGAACUGAGACACGGUCCAGACUCCUACGGGAGGCAGCAGUGGGGAAUCUUCCGCAAUGGGCGAAAGCCUGACGGAGCAACGCCGCGUGAGUGAUGACGGCCUUCGGGUUGUAAAGCUCUGUGAUCGGGGACGAACGGUCCGUAAGCUAAUACCUUAUGGAAGUGACGGUACCCGAAUAGCAAGCCACGGCUAACUACGUGCCAGCAGCCGCGGUAAUACGUAGGUGGCAAGCGUUGUCCGGAAUUAUUGGGCGUAAAGCGCGCGCAGGCGGCUUUCUAAGUCCAUCUUAAAAGUGCGGGGCUUAACCCCGUGAUGGGAUGGAAACUGGAAAGCUGGAGUAUCGGAGAGGAAAGUGGAAUUCCUAGUGUAGCGGUGAAAUGCGUAGAGAUUAGGAAGAACACCGGUGGCGAAGGCGACUUUCUGGACGACAACUGACGCUGAGGCGCGAAAGCGUGGGGAGCAAACAGGAUUAGUUACCCUGGUAGUCCACACCGUAAACGAUGAUUACUAGGUGUUGGAGGAUUGACCCCUUCAGUGCCGCAGUUAACACAAUAAGUAAUCCACCUGGGGAGUACGACCGCAAGGUUGAAACUCAAAGGAAUUGACGGGGGCCCGCACAAGCAGUGGAGUAUGUGGUUUAAUUCGACGCAACGCGAAGAACCUUACCAAGUCUUGACAUCCCUUGACGAUGCUGGAAACAGUAUUUCUCUUCGGAGCAAGGAGACAGGUGGUGCAUGGUUGUCGUCAGCUCGUGUCGUGAGAUGUUGGGUUAAGUCCCGCAACGAGCGCAACCCUUAUGGUCAGUUACUACGCAAGAGGACUCUGGCCAGACUGCCGUUGACAAAACGGAGGAAGGUGGGGAUGACGUCAAAUCAUCAUGCCCUUUAUGACUUGGGCUACACACGUACUACAAUGGCGUUAAACAAAGAGAAGCAAGACCGCGAGGUGGAGCAAAACUCAGAAACAACGUCCCAGUUCGGACUGCAGGCUGCAACUCGCCUGCACGAAGUCGGAAUUGCUAGUAAUCGUGGAUCAGCAUGCCACGGUGAAUACGUUCCCGGGCCUUGUACACACCGCCCGUCACACCAUGAGAGCCGGGGGGACCCGAAGUCGGUAGUCUAACCGCAAGGAGGACGCCGCCGAGGGUAAAACUGGUGAUUGGGGUGAAGUCGUAACGAGGUA